GGGGAUGUAGCCCAGCAGGUUAGAGCGCUUCGCUCACAUCGAAGAGGUCGUAGGUUCGAGCCCUAUCAUCCCCACCA
rnacentral:tRNA from 1 species